GCUUAGCACCGCCCUGAGCGCGCCCGAUCCCGUCUGAUCUCGGAAGCUAAGCAGGGUCGGGCCCGGUUAGGAUCUUGGAUGGGAGAUAUUUCUUAAGAACAGACAGUUUAUAGUAAGCU
rnacentral:rRNA from 1 species